CGUCGAGCGGCGGACGGGUGAGUAAUGCCUGGGAAAUUGCCCUGAUGUGGGGGAUAACCAUUGGAAACGAUGGCUAAUACCGCAUAAUAGCUUCGGCUCAAAGAGGGGGACCUUCGGGCCUCUCGCGUCAGGAUAUGCCCAGGUGGGAUUAGCUAGUUGGUGAGGUAAUGGCUCACCAAGGCGACGAUCCCUAGCUGGUCUGAGAGGAUGAUCAGCCACACUGGAACUGAGACACGGUCCAGACUCCUACGGGAGGCAGCAGUGGGGAAUAUUGCACAAUGGGCGCAAGCCUGAUGCAGCCAUGCCGCGUGUGUGAAGAAGGCCUUCGGGUUGUAAAGCACUUUCAGCAGUGAGGAAGGUGGUGUCGUUAAUAGCGGCAUCAUUUGACGUUAGCUGCAGAAGAAGCACCGGCUAACUCCGUGCCAGCAGCCGCGGUAAUACGGAGGGUGCGAGCGUUAAUCGGAAUUACUGGGCGUAAAGCGCAUGCAGGUGGUUAGUUAAGUCAGAUGUGAAAGCCCGGG
rnacentral:rRNA from 1 species